rnacentral:rRNA from 1 species
CAGUAGCCGCGGUAAUACGUAGGGUGCAAGCGUUAAUCGGAAUUACUGGGCGUAAAGCGUGCGCAGGCGGUUUGUUAAGACAGAUGUGAAAUCCCCGGGCUCAACCUGGGAACUGCAUUUGUGACUGGCAGGCUAGAGUAUGGCAGAGGGGGGUGGAAUUCCGCGUGUAGCAGUGAAAUGCGUAGAUAUGCGGAGGAACACCGAUGGCGAAGGCAGCCCCCUGGGCCAAUACUGACGCUCAUGCACGAAAGCGUGGGGAGCAAACAGGAUUAGAUACCCCUGUAGUCCCUGUCUCUUAUAC